AGCGUUUUUUUUUUCCUGUUUGGCUUCUGAUCUUCUGAACAGGUCUGGAACUGGAGGUGGUCCUUCUAAAAAUGUUUUCUUCACUGCAUAUGAGGAAAUGUUCAUGUCUGUUAUACACGGAGACUGCGUGACUGGUGUCGCCGGUGUUUUGGAUUCUGACAGAUAUGUCACCAAAGGUCCAAGAGGUCACUGGAUUGGAAAGUCAGCAAGAUAGCUCUGCAGAGAACCCCAACAAUCUCCUGAAAUGGAAAAAAGAAUGUUUAUUGUUGAUGAUAAUGCAAGACAGUGUCCUGAAAAUUUUAGUGAUUAUGCUGUAUUUUCUAAUGAUGUCAGGUAAUGAUAAUAAUGCUAAGCCUUUACAAUGCCCACAACAAGCACUUGUUAAAGGUAAGGUCAAAUCCAUACAUAGUACUGUUAUCCCAAAAGUACUUGAACCCCCCAAAAAAUUGUUUACAUAACUCUCUUAUCAAUUAUCAAAAAUCUCUCAUGAAAAAAAUGCAUGUUGUUCAUCUUGAUCUGUGUAUCGCCACAACAUGUUACAACAGUCAGGCAUCACAAGCCUCAUACGAGGCAGCUAUGUUAAAGGACAUGUAAACCCCACACACACAAAGUUAAUCAGUGAACAGCCUCUUUGAAAUCUUUCAAUGCCUGCCAGACUGGUUGCAUAUACAACUAAUUUCAACUUUUCAGCUGUUGCAGCUUUAAUUACUUCAUUAUUAGGCCCAAUAAGUACUUAGUUAAAUCAUAGUUACCGUGAAUGCAGAAAUGUUGCAUAUUGCCACUUAUUACUGUUGAGCUCAAUAAAAUAAAUGAUCUUUUUUUUUUUAA